rfam:HIV-1 isolate 98CMABB212 from Cameroon, complete genome.
AGCCAGGAUCUAAAAAGAAAUAUAGGCUAAAACAUUUAAUAUGGGCAAGCAAAGAGCUGGAAAGAUUCGAAUGUAAUCCUGGUC